rnacentral:rRNA from 1 species
AUGAACGCUAGCGGCAGGCUUAACACAUGCAAGUCGAGGGGCAACACGGGUAGCAAUACCUGGUGGCGACCGGCGCAAGGGUGCGUAACGCGUGAGCAACAUGCCCUAUACAGGGGGAUAAUCCAGGGAAACUUGGUCUAAUAUCCCAUAGUAUUUAGAGGUGGCAUCACCACUAAAUUAAAGCUUCGGUGGUAUAGGAUUGGCUCGCGUGACAUUAGCUGGAUGGUGGGGUAACGGCUCACCAUGGCGAUGAUGUCUAGGGGUUCUGAGAGGAAGACCCCCCACACUGGGACUGAGACACGGCCCAGACUCCUACGGGAGGCAGCAGUGAGGAAUAUUGGACAAUGGAUGGAAAUCUGAUCCAGCCAUGCCGCGUGCAGGAAGGCGGCCCUAUGGGUUGUAAACUGCUUUUAUAUGGGAGCAAUAAGGUUUACGCGUAGACCGAUGAGAGUACCAUAUGAAUAAGCAUCGGCUAACUCCGUG